rnacentral:rRNA from 1 species
GACAGCAGUAGCCGCGGUAAUACGAGGGGUGCAAGCGUUAUUCGGAUUGAUUGGGUGUAAAGGGUGUGCAGACGGCUUAUUAAGUCACUUGUUAAAUUCUUCGGCCUAACUGAAGGUCUGCAAGUGAUACUGAUGAGCUAGAGGGUGGAAGAGAGAAGUGGAAUUCUCGGAGUAGCGGUAAAACGCGUAGAUCUCGAGAGGAACACCAAUGGCGAAGGCAGCUUCUUGGUCCAUUCCUGACGUUCAUACACGAAAGCGUGGGGAGCAAACAGGAUUAGAUACCCCCGUAGUCCCUGUCUCUUAUAC